AGUUUGAUUCUGGCUCAGAAUGAACGUGGCGGCAUGCUAACACAUGCAAGUCGAACGAAGGCUUCGGCCUUAGUGGCGCACGGGUGCGUAACGCGUGGAAUCUGCCCCUUGGUUCGGAAUAACAGUUAGAAAUGACUGCUAAUACCGGAUGAUGACGUAAGUCCAAAGAUUUAUCGCCGAGGGAUGAGCCCGCGUAGGAUUAGCUAGUUGGUGUGGUAAGAGCGCACCAAGGCGACGAUCCUUAGCUGGUCUGAGAGGAUGAUCAGCCACACUGGGACUGAGACACGGCCCAGACUCCUACGGGAGGCAGCAGUGGGGAAUAUUGGACAAUGGGCGAAAGCUGAUCCAGCAAUGCCGCGUGAGUGAUGAAGGCCUUAGGGUUGUAAAGCUCUUUUACCCGGGAUGAUAAUGACAGUACCGGGAGAAUAAGCUCCGGCUAACUCCGUGCCAGCAGCCGCGGUAAUACGGAGGGAGCUAGCGUUAUUCGGAAUUACUGGGCGUAAAGCGCAC
rnacentral:rRNA from 1 species